rnacentral:rRNA from 1 species
UACGUAGGUGGCAAGCGUUGUCCGGAUUUAUUGGGCUUAAAGGGCGCGUAGGCGGUCUUUUAAGUCAGUGCUGAAAUAUCCCGGCUUAACCGGGAGGGUGGCAUUGAUACUGAAGGACUUGAGUUCAGUCGAGGUAGGCGGAAUUGACGGUGUAGCGGUGAAAUGCUUAGAUAUCGUCAAGAACACCGAUAGUGUAGACAGCUUACUAGGCUGAAACUGACGCUGAGGCACGAAAGUGUGGGGAUCAAACAGG